rnacentral:rRNA from 1 species
GUGGGGAAUCUUGCGCAAUGGGCGAAAGCCUGACGCAGCCAUGCCGCGUGAAUGAUGAAGGUCUUAGGAUUGUAAAAUUCUUUCACCGGGGACGAUAAUGACGGUACCCGGAGAAGAAGCUCCGGCUAACUUCGUGCCAGCAGCCGCGGUAAUACGAAGGGGGCUAGCGUUGCUCGGAAUUACUGGGCGUAAAGGGCGCGUAGGCGGACAGCUUAGUCGGAGGUGAAAGCCCAGGGCUCAACCUUGGAAUUGCCUUUGAUACUGGCUGUCUUGAGUUUGGGAGAGGUGAGUGGAACUCCGAGUGUAGAGGUGAAAUUCGUAGAUAUUCGGAAGAACACCAGUGGCGAAGGCGACUCACUGGCCCAAUACUGACGCUGAGGCGCGAAAGCGUGGGGAGCAAACAGGAUUAGAAACCCUAGUAGUCC